CCUACGGGUGGCAGCAGUGAGGAAUAUUGGUCAAUGGGCUUACGCCUGAACCAGCCAAGUCGCGUGAGGGAAGACUGCCCUAUGGGUUGUAAACCUCUUUUGUCAGGGAGCAAUUUGCGCUACGUGUAGCGUUAUCGAUAGUACCUGCCGAAAAAGCAUCGGCUAACUCCGUCCCAGCCGCCGCGGUAAUAGGGAGGAUGCGAGUGUUAUCCGGAUUUAUUGGGUUUAAGGGGUGCGUAGGCGGAAUGCCAAGUCAGCGGUAAAAUCGCGGGGCUCAACCUCGCUCCGCCGUUGAAACUGGCGUUCUUGAGUGGGCGAGAGGUAUGCGGAAUGCGUGGUGUAGCGGUGAAAUGCUUAGAUAUCACGAAGAACCCCGAUUGCGAAGGCAGUUCACUGGACUGCAACUGACACUGAGGCUCGAAAGUGUGGGUAUCAAACAGGAUUAGAUACCCGAGUAGUC
rnacentral:rRNA from 1 species